rnacentral:rRNA from 1 species
AUUGAACGCUGGCGGCAGGCUUAACACAUGCAAGUCGAGCGAGCGGCGGACGGGUGAGUAAUGUCUGGGAAACUGCCUGAUGGAGGGGGAUAACUACUGGCAACGGUAGCUAAUACCGCAUACCAUCAGAUGUGCCCAGAUGGGAUUAGCUAGUAGGUGGGGUAAGGGCUCACCUGGGCGACGAUCCCUAGCUGGUCUGAGAGGAUGACCAGCCACACGGGAACUGAGACACGGUCCAGACUCCUACGGGAGGCAGCAGUGGGGAAUAUUGCACAAUGGGCGCAAGCCUGAUGCAGCCAUGCAGCGUGUGUGAAGAAGGCCUUCGGGUUGUAAAGGACUGUCAGCGAGGAGGCGUUACUCGCAGAAGAAGCACCGGCUAACUACGUGCCAGCAGCCGCGGUAAUUC